rnacentral:rRNA from 1 species
GAAUUUAAACCUCUUCCAGAGUAUCAAUUGGAGGGCAAGUCUGGUGCCAGCAGCCGCGGUAAUUCCAGCUCCAAUAGCGUAUAUUAAAAUUGUUGCAGUUAAAAAGCUCGUAGUUGAAUUUCUGCUGCAUUGCUUUUGCUCCUUUACGAGUCUUUGCAUUGUGGCUUAUUUCGGACUUUGUUUUACAAUGUCCGGAUGUUUACUUUGAGAAAAUUAGAGUGCUCAAAGCAGGCUUUCGCCUUGAAUAGUUUAGCAUGGAAUAAUAAAGUAGGACUUUGGUUCUAUUUUGUUGGUUUUAGGUACCAAAGUAAUGGUUAAUAGGAACAGUUGGGGGCAUUCGUAUUUAACUGUCAGAGGUGAAAUUCUUAGAUUUGUUAAAGACGAACUACUGCGAAAGCAUUUGC